GAAUUACACGCUGCAUGUAAAUUACCCAAAAAACCAAAUAUAGAACUCGAAGAUGGGGCCCACGUAAUCGUCGUUCGUUCUCGAAUCUGGUCUCAGCCUCCACCUCUCCGGCGAGAAAACCCCCAGUCCGGCAAUUAAAGGUAAAAGAGUGGGAGGGAAGAACAAAAGCUAUCAGUAAUCAUCUUCUCUCCUUUGCCACAUAAAUAGCGCGAUUAAACCUAGAAAUUCUAAUCGGCGGAGCACGACGGCACUUUCUUCCCGGGGAACUGAGCUCCCCAUUCCCGAUUGCGGCAGGAGAUGAGUCCAUCAUCGGUAAUCUCCGUCGGGAUCUUCCUUCUCACCCCUUCCCCUACCCAAUGUCUCGUGAUUCAGCAGACGGGUAGUUAGGGUUUCUAGCACCUUUCAUGGCGUCCGAGGAGCUGCGUCUUGUCCAGCCGCAGAGGAUGGAGAACGGAUCGAGCUCCCGGAUGGCGUUCCGCGAAGACUCGAUCCGCUUUCCGAUCGCGGGAGGCUGCGUAGACCACCGGAAGUCUCUCCCUGCUUGCGGCUUCGUUAUGGAGGGUAACAAGUUGUUCCCCAACGACAAGGGGGAGGCACGGUUGUUUCAGAAUCAGGAGGCGGCCUUACGUCGGAGCCUGUACGGUACGCCGGGGCGGAUUGAGCGGGAUGAGGGGAAUGCCCAUAGUCGAGGCUGGAAUGUUGAAGGCAAUGAUGGUUCGGGGAGCCGUGGAGAUGGAUAUGAUGGGGACGGGGAUGGGAAUGGGGAUGGGGAUGGGGAUGGGGAUGAGGAUGAUGGUGAAGCGGAUGAUGGUGUUGAGGAUGAUGAACUCGAUGAAGGUGAUGGCGAGGUUGACGGCUUGGUUUGUGCUGAUCUGGGCAAUGCUAAUAAGAAUAACAACAAUAGCAGUGGUAGUGUCCAGAGUAGUUCUGAGAAGAUCUGCACUGACAAGGCAAACGUGCAGGAACACCAUUCUUUUUUUGGGCUGAGCAGAACAGUUUUGACUAAAUGUGGGAAUGAGAUGAGGGAAAAUUCAGGUGAGCAGCAUGACCAUUGUGAAGGAGGGAAUAACUAUGAGAAUGCAAUAACUGUGGUAGAGCCUGAGCUCUACUGCAGCCAGAUUUUUCAUGGGGGAGAUGGGUCUACUGCAAACCAGAAGGCUUUAAGAGGAGAUAAUGGAUAUGGCUUCAAUGGCAGAAGGGAAUCUAGUUUUCCUCUUUAUUCAGGAGAAUCUCUCCGAGCACACCUUUCAGAUCCUGUUACCGGUUCCCUCAUGGAUGAUGCGAUAAUCUUAGCUUGCGGGCAUUCCUUUGGAAGCGGUGGAAUGCAACAUGUUCAGCGAAUUAAAGCUUGUUUUAAAUGUUCGCUACCAAUUUCUGAAGAUUCAGCUCGACCGAAUUUAGCCCUUCGUGCGGCGGUUCAGGCAUUCCUUAGGGAGGAAGAGUCGCAUUCCUUAAGAUUGUCGAAACGAAGAAGGGACAGAUUUGAACAGGAUAAAUAUAAUUAUGAUGAUCAACCUUCCAUGGAUUCACGAAGUAGAGGCGUUCAGUUUCCAUUUAAUGUGUCAGACCGGGUUAUUAUAAAGGGAAACAAGAGAACGCCUCAGCGAUUUGUUGGAAGGUUGGCAGUUGUGACUACACAAUGCCUAAAUGGAUGGUAUGUUGUGAAGACAUUGGAUAAUGCUGAGAGCGUCAAGCUCCAAUAUCGCUCAUUAUCGAAAGCUCCAGAAAAUUCCUCAAAUCCUAUUGCAAAUAAACCAAUCUCUUCAAAUUGGCUGUAACAAAUUAGUAUUGCAGAAAGCCCCCCCAAUUUUCAAAAUUUGGGAUAUGUGGUCUAUAUGAUCCUUACAGAUCUGUACAAAUUUGGAGCACUGAAGCAAAGUGGGUGUACAUUCCAGGCCAACUGUGCCAGAGGGGGCUCGAACCCCUGACCUUAGAGAUCUUACUCCGAGGAUGCCAACCAACAGGCCAAGGUACGUGACACAAUUUGGAUAAUUGGAGAGUGAGAGAUUGAAUGUUAAUUAUGGAUGAGUUUAUUUU